GACAGAUUUAGAAAUAGAUCCUCCUUCGGGCAAUUUUCAAGGUGCUGCAUGGUUGUCGUCAGCUCGUGCCGUGAGGUGUUAGGUUAAGUCCUGCAACGAGCGCAACCCCUGUCACUAGUUGCCAUCAUUCAGUUGGGGACUCUAGUGAGACUGCCUACGCAAGUAGAGAGGAAGGUGGGGAUGACGUCAAAUCAUCACGGCCCUUACGUCUUGGGCCACACACGUAAUACAAUGGCCGGUACAGAGGGCAGCUACACAGCGAUGUGAUGCAAAUCUCGAAAGCCGGUCUCAGUUCGGAUUGGAGUCUGCAACUCGACUCUAUGAAGCUGGAAUCGCUAGUAAUCGCGCAUCAGCCAUGGCGCGGUGAAUACGUUCCCGGGCCUUGUACACACCGCCCGUCAAGCCAUGGAAGUCUGGGGUACCUGAAGUCGGUGACCGUAACAGGAGCUGCCUAGGGUAAAACAGGUAACUAGGGCUAAGUCGUAACAAGGUAGCCGUAG
rnacentral:rRNA from 1 species